rnacentral:lncRNA from 1 species
UCCACUUAAGGCGAGGAAGUGGUCAACAAUAAUUCCAUAACCGGCACGCGCAUCUAAGGCGCCAAAAGGGGUCGGAGCGUCUGAGCGGGGCGAGGAUAACAAUACGCGCGCUAGCUUAUAACUAAAAGUCGUAAGCGACAAAAUGGUUUUGUAAUUUUAAUAUUUAGAAAUGAUAAUUUAAUAAAAAUUCCUACUACCAUUUUAAAGAGUAUGUAUAUACUCAACUACUAAAAAAGUUAAGAGGCUUAAAUCGGUCCCGUUUGCCCAUAAUAUGUGAAUCUCUUUUUAAAAAGAGGUAACCAAGUUGUAUUUUGAUCCGUUUUGUAUUUACUGAGAAAAAUUGACAUCCUUGGCGCCAAAAAUUCCAAUUCGUCCUCUUAAUAC